rnacentral:tRNA from 1 species
GGAGGAGUGGCUGAGUGGUCGAUAGCGGCGGUCUUGAAAACCGUUGAACGUUAACGCGUUCCGGGGGUUCGAAUCCCUCCUCCUCCG